rfam:Dichanthelium oligosanthes cultivar Kellogg 1175 unplaced genomic scaffold Do_version_2_scaffold2362, whole genome shotgun sequence.
AGCAAAAUGAGGAGCUCAAAUGAUCUGAAGUAUCUAUGUUGAUACAUCCAUUCAUGGUCUUCAAAGUUCUCUGAUUGCU